rnacentral:lncRNA from 1 species
GACUCUGUGGGGCUGAAUUAUACAUUUGAUCUCGUUCUGCUCAAUAUUUCCCCACAAGUAGUGUUUAGGAUGCGACUGAUGCCUUUAAAGAUAUCUGCAGCAGGAAUAGUGCAGAGAAAAAAACACUCUAUGCUAAAAUAUUUUGAGCUGAAGGCAAUUAAGAAGUGCUCUGGCCUUCCCUCUAGUUUCUGAAAAGCAUACAACAUAAUCAUAUUAUACAAAGACAAAAGUGCCCUUUCUCCCCUCUCUGCCAGAAAGGACGCAGGUCAAUCUCUGCAGACAACUUCAGACCCUUAUCAUUCGGGAAACAGCACCAGAGGAAUUUACACAAAAAUCUAUCAUUUAUUGGCCUUCCCACAAUUUGUUGCCCCCAAUGACCCAAAGUCCUUUUACUUUGUCUUGGCACUUCUAUAAACAUUUAUUAUCCUUGUUGAAGAUGUUAUAUAAAAGAAAGCUCUGAGCUGUCUCUUUGAGAUUCCCUCAUUCCCAGUGUAUCUCCCAUGUAUAUAUGAAAUAUACAUGCUAAUAAGCCUCCGUUUGCUUUUUUUGGGGUUCAUCUGGUUUUGUUAUAGGAACCCCAGCCAAUGAAGCUAAGAUGGGUGGAAGAAAAGAUUACAUUUUUCUCCCCUGUAGUAGCAUUAUUCUAGCAAUAGCAUUUUUUUUUGUAGAUUUCUGUUGAAUACACACACACACACACACACGCAGACACAGCAAUGUAAAAAGAAAGAAGUGUGGGGAGUCCUGAUGAAAUUUUAGGUCCCAGAGAUUCCUAAAUAUGUUGGGAAGUUGUCUUUAAACAUUGAUUUUUUUUCCCACAUUUACUCUCAUAUAUUUUUUUUUUUUCUGAGAUACCAUUUCUAGAUUGUUUUCCUACAUUUUCUUGCAAGUCCGAGAGAGUAUGCUGGUUAGUAGUGUGUCUAAUGCACCACCUCUGUCCUUGUCAGUAAAGAAAUGUAGUAAUUGAGAGGGAUAUGAGAGUCACACUACACAGGGACGGAAACACAGAUAUGAAGUAAAUAAAAACACGUGAAAACCCAGCAUUUCUGGAACUCUCACCUACUCCUGUGCCGAUAUUCAUCCUUCAGCUCUGCCUCCGUUCUUCCCUUCUUUUCUCAUGCUAUAGGGUCUGCUUUGGAGAUGUUAUCUACUUUCAUUCUUCCAAAGUCAAGCUUCUAGCUUUGGUUGGAACUGCAGACCCAUUGACUCAUUCAGCAAAUACUUUGUAAGCACAUGGAUAGUCACUGAGAAUACCAUGGUUCACCAACAUGA